CACACAUAAAUUAGAGUAUUCGUGUACGAUUUUACACACAACUUUUGCUCCUGAAAUAUUGGGUUUUCUCUUAGUCGAUUAGCUUUUCAUGUAACUUGUGCCAUUCUCUAAAAAAUCUCGUCGUCGCUUCCAUUGUCCCAAAACUGAUAUAGCCUUCAGUGUUUGGCCUGGCCUUUUGAGGCCGCUCUAUAGUCAAAUAGUAUAUAUUAUAAUGAUUCUUAAUUAGUCAAAUGGUUACCUCGCUUUGUUAAUAAUUACUAUAUUAGAUGUGUUUCAUAAUCUCCGUCGAGGAGACAGAAUCUCCUGAAUUUGGCUGAUAUAAGGUACAAAUGCAUGUGACUACAUUGAUACUUUAGUUUACUACAUAUAUAUGAUACUUAAUAUUAUCUGCAGUUUUUAUCUCAUCAACUUCAAUUAUUGCUGCCUCAUUACAUACAUUAGAAGUUAUAAUAUAUGUACUCUAAAAUUAUAUAUACUCUUAUUCAGUUAACGAGGCGAAGUAUAUUAAAUCCAAGACAAAAUGAAAAGAGAAGCUAAAAUCCUAAAAGUAUGUGUUCUUACUACAAAUGCACGAUUAACUGACGUUCCAGUUUCUCAAAAUAUUAGAAAAAAUCCGACUUAACUUGAACAAUUCGAUAUAUAACCUAAUUCUUACUACAAAUAUCCUUUUAGGUGGAGCAUCAAACAUGUAAAUGCAUUUUUACUUAUUUCGACGGAAUAGAGCUUUCGUUGAACCAUUCAUACAUGGAGUGAUCGAGCUAUUGUUUGGACCGUAUUAACGGAUCAACAUGUAUUCAUGUUUUGAUAUCAUGUUAAUUUGUUAUGGGGUUCCAAUUCUAAAUCAAUUUGGCAAUAAAUAAAUUAACUCAUGUCUUUUAUGUAUUACUCAAAUCCAUUUUCAUCUCUGAUGUGAGACCUUUCUUCACAAUAUAUCAAAUAACUGGGUUUGAAACCUUUUUCGAAAAUUACUAUUAAUAUUAUUAACUCCAUAAUGUUUUAGCUACAGUGCAUUAAUGUCAAAUAUUCUGUAUACACGUGGAAACCUCAAUAAGAAUUAGCAAUUUGACAGAAUAAAUAACAAGUAAUUGGCUCUUCAAUCCUAGGAAGUAAUUAAGUACCCCCUAUCGCUCAUUAAAAUUUUGGAGUUGUACGUGUUAAAUUAUUAAAACUCCAACAUGAGUGAUUCUUGGCAUGUGUCUCCUAACCAAAUCUUUCUCAGUUCUUGUAAGCUGCCACGUUAAGAAAAAAGGUGCUGUGUAAUUCCUUGGUUAGUUUAUAUCUAAGAAAUAGAUAAAUUAAUACACUAAUCCAUAAUGUAGUUCAUUUCUAAGGAUCAUAACCCACGUUUCAUUCUUGUUUAAUCACUCUUUUUUUUUUUUUUAAUGAAUUUUAAUCAUCAUUUGAUUAGUUUAUAGGGUACUGCAAACAAUAAUGAAUAUCUUAAUUAGAAAUGAAACUAUAUCACAUAAGUGAAUCUCCCAUGAAGACAGGGAUUUCGUAAGAAACAAGUACAAAUAAACUAAUGUAUGGAAACUUUUGAAGUGCCUCAUGGAGUUAUUUAUCCACUUUGGUUGUUUUGUAAAGACAAAAUUUGUAGUGCCCUUUGAAAUACUUAAAAGGGAGGAUAUUCCCACAACUUAUAUUACUAGUUUUAGUGGAUACGAAUCUCUAUUUCGUAUUUUAUUAAUCAAAUACUUAUAUUAUAAUAGCAAACAACAAAUGUAUUAUUAGAUUAAAAAAAUUGUUGUAGUUAGUCUUUUGAUUUAAAACACUUGUUUUAGAUUGCACAUAAUAAGGGGUUCAGGUCGAUUAUGAGUCUGUAUAGGCAGGCUACAUCGACUAUACCGGUAUCUUAAUUCUUAAUCAACGAUCUGGUAGCUGAUGUACAAUAUGUUACCGGUUUGGCGGUUUCUAACGUUUGUAUCGGUCUUUUUAUGAGGCAACAUAUGUUCUUAGAUUUUUUAAGUUAUUAUUUCUCAUGUGUUUUUUGUGUUUUUUUGUUCAAAAUUGGAACUAUGAAAUUUGGUAUUAGUCCUUUUAUGAGUCAAAAAAGUCUUUACUUUUUUAAAAUUUUUCAAGUGUUUAUAGCUUUUAGGUUGUUUUGUAGGAUAACGAUUAACAAACCAUUUUAUGAUGCAUAAUGUGGAAUUGGAGACAAGUUCAUGUAUCAUGAGUUUAGAAUUCGGUUAAAGAUUUCUCAUUGUUCUGUGUUAACCUAAAGUUUGGACACAUGAUAUCACUUGAAUCAUUUGUCAUUUGGUGAUGGAGUGAAACCAGCGGACCAAUGGUUUGACAAAUUUUUUAUUCUUGUUUUUAAUGUCUAAAAAAAGUUAUGGCUUUAUAUCCGUAUAUCCUUUGGAACAAUAUACCAUCUCCAGAACAUUUUAUAUAGUCUCUUCUCAAAUGUCAUUCGAACUAACAACUUCUAGAAUUAUAACAGUUUGACAAUUAUAUAUGCCAAUAUUAGUGAAGACAUGUUAGUUUGGCGAAUAGCUUAAACAUGUGCAAAAAAAUAAUUAAUGUUAAAUAUAUAUUUGCCUAAAGUUAUUAUAUGUAAC
rnacentral:sRNA from 1 species